rnacentral:rRNA from 1 species
UACGUAGGGACCAAGCGUUGUUCGGAAUUACUGGGCGUAAAGCGCACGUAGGCGGCUUUGUAAGUUAGAGGUGAAAGCCCGGAGCUCAACUCCGGAAUUGCCUUUAAGACUGCAUCGCUCGAAUCAUGGAGAGGUGAGUGGAAUUCCGAGUGUAGAGGUGAAAUUCGUAGAUAUUCGGAAGAACACCAGUGGCGAAGGCGACUCACUGGACAUGUAUUGACGCUGAGGUGCGAAAGCGUGGGGAGCAAACAGG